GUAAGACGAUCUUUGACAGAGCUUCCCUUCCCACAAUGCACAGCGGCAUACUGCACUAUAUAACCAAUGCGUGUCUUCCGCUCUGCCUCUCAGUCUGCUGGAACCAUGGAGACCAGAGAGGUGUGGAGGUACUGCUCAGCUAAGAGAUGCUGGGUCUCCUGAUGAACACGUGCCAUAUCAGAGUGGCAGCUAUGGGAUAGAGCUACCAAGAGUCCUUCCUUGCCUCUGGUGCUAAAGGUAAAAAAUGGUGGAGCCUCUGAUGGGCUGCUCAGUGUGGGACUGACAAGUCAUGCUGCAGGCUGACUGAGGGAGCAUGUGGAGCAGCUGGCCUGCGGGGGGGUAGAAAACGCCUGCAAGGAACCGAGCCAGACCUAGGCUGAUGUGGAGGAGUUCCUGUCUCAGUCCACCUGCUGGGAUGUCACUGGGCCAACCCCAUGGUCCAGCCAUGUCUGCUCGACAUGUUUGAGGCAACUUGUCAAACUCAUUUUGUUGGAUAAUGCCCUGAAGGCAUCACCUACAUUUAACAUCUACAGGAAAUAAUUUAUCUAGAAUAUAAAAUCUGAGCUUUGAAUUGAGUCUUGUAUCAUGUACAUAUGUUUGAAUAACAUUUGAUUUUGCAUCCCCACAACAUUCUUGACAUUUUUACGAUGUUUCCCUGCUGUUUGCUGACCAGCAGGUGAUGAUGAUUUGAGUAGAUUACUUCCUCUACAAGAGGCACACUUUCCUGUAGAUAAGAUGUUUGAUUUUAUAAUAAAGUAUUCAUUUGCAGCAUAA